rnacentral:lncRNA from 1 species
AGAGAUCACUAUUUUGUUCUAAACAAUUUGCUCUUGGCUCAUAGUCAUGCCAUGGAUUCAUGUUAACCACCACCUCCACCUGUUCAGCUUUUCACCGCCGCAGCACCACCCUUCCCACCUGUAAACCCAGAAACCAUUCACAACAAUACAAUCACCAUAAUUAUCAGCCACUCUUAUUAUCUUUGAAGGGUGCAAAAAGAUUGAAAGUCUGUCAGACCACCACCUGACCAUCCCAGCCGAGCAUACCCAACUGAGAACGAUCCUCUACUGCCCCGAUGACCCUGAACUAGGGCCAGGGUGCUGUUAAUCACGCUCUAGUCAGGUGGACAUACAUCCUCAGUCAGACUUGGUUUCUUGUCUCCUUAGAAUUCAAGGAUACAGAGGUACGAGCCUAUAGAACAGAUCCUGUUCAAGUAAGGUCGUGGACAAUUUGAAUCCAAUUCUUCUAUCUAUAUUGGUUAUUUUAUUGCUUAAGUUUCGAUGUGGGAUUUUGUUACCGGUUCGGAGUUCUCGAAAAUUGCUUUCCUUCUCUUCAACGGCUUGCUCCACUAUUGCUUCCUUAAUCUGUAUUCAACCCGAUAUUUUCUUGAUAAUUCUUCAAUCGACAAAUCUUAUUUACUUUUCUACACCAUCACCUUGAGAACUCGUAAUUAUCACUACUUUAGAUCUCCAGUCGCGUUCUUUAUUAUCCAAUCUAAAUUCCUCAGAAGCAAAUUCAUGCUUCCGUCAUAGUAUCCAAUGGGCAUGAGUUACCCCUUACAAUUGUUUCAAAGUGGAUAUCUUUAUAUGUUGAAUUGAAUGCUGUUUAUAGCUCUGUUUCUAUGCUUUUGUUUGGAAUUCAAGCAUCAGGGCACUUGUUAAUGUGGGUUUUGUUGGAUCUGCGUCUUGUAUUUAUAAGUUAAUUAGAGAACUGGGUGUUUCAUAUUGAUAGUUACACACUCGAAUACUUCCAAUAUUGAAUGGAAUUGUUGUGUUUCUUGAAAGUGGGAAAAUAUUUGCAGAUAUGCGUGAAGGUGUUUGGUGAAAUGCCUUACAGGGACUUGGUGUCUUGGACUGAUGAUUUCGGGGUAUGUUGGGUGAAAAGAAUGAUGGUGGCGCUUCUCGAUCGUUAAGUGAAAUGCAGAAAGAGGUUGAACACAAUUGUAAUGAUACGGAUAUGCUGAAGUUUUGUCGUGGGUACUUGAUCAAAAGUGGUUUCUCGAUUGAUCAAUUGGUGAAAGAUUCAAUCUUGUAAAUGUAUACUAACGUUGGUAGACCGGUAGUGUUGAUGAUGAGAAAACUCUUUUCGAAAAAAUUAAUAAAUUUGAUGUUGUUUCUUGGAAUAUAGCGAUAUCCUUGCAUUCUUUGAAAAUAAGUUAUUUGAAAAUACCAGUUGUGUCUGUAAAAUUUGGAACGAGCCGAAACUAAGCAUUGAAACAUUAACUUUGCUUGUUUCGGGGUUG